UAAAAGUAACUAGUGUCAAAUGACAAGCCACUUAUAACAAGACACAAAUGUAUUAAGCAAUGUUGGAUGGCAUAAUAUCAGUUUACUUUGGAGGGAGAGGGAUCAAUACAGCAUGUUUCUGGGCAGAAGAAGCCUGAUCUAACUUGUUCAGUCUUCUACUCCUGCUGCUCAAUGGACUGUCAAGUGGCUCAACUGGUAAAGGAGCUCACCUGAAUACAGGCUGAGCAUGUGAUCACAAGUUCAAGCCUGGGUCAAGUCACUAGCCAACUGUGAUUCCUCAAUCUCCGGCUCACAGUCAGCUAAGCGCCCUGAGAGUAAAGUGGGAUUACUCAGCCAGCGUUCACUCACUCAAAGACCCCUGCAGUUUCCUGGGCACGUGGCACUGUUGGUAAGAGCUGUUCCCCUCUCCCAAACAGCGCUGCACCUCUGGUACGAGGCUGUGAUGCAAGUGUCAUGUUCAAAAACUAGUGGCUUGACGGAAAUUGCCAACACCUCCUAAUUCUCCCGUGUGGGGUUCAUAGCUACAAGCUGAGACUUGGAAAACACACAACUGGUUACUCCAAAUAGGGUGGGUAUAAUAAAACAAAUAACUGGUGACUAAAAACAAUCUUAUUUGGGGAUUUUUCAGAUAACAUCUCUUCUUGAGUUUUUUAAAGAAAAGUAACACAAACAGGAGAUAUACUGUAACAUAUUUCCCGUUAUGUUUACUUUUCUUCAUGUAGCACAAGAAAGUUUCUUGUCCUAAAAUGUCUGUAAUAAAUCUAAAAUAUAAAUGACUGCAUCUUAUUUUUUAAGAAAGAUUUAAUAAUUGUUUACCAACUAUGCAAAUAAACUGUGUAAUAGUGAUGCCUCAUUCACCAGGCAUCACAAUUAUUUUAGGCUUUAAUUUUUCCUUUUGGUGAAUGUUGACCUUAUAUAAAAAAUAUCCCAAAGAAUACGAAAACUGUUCAAAACCCAAGUCACUAACUUAUGAAUGCAGACACAUAUGCAACAGGAAUGAGCCUUUACAGCAAAAAAACUAUAUCGAAGUGAAAUCUCAGAACAGGUGAUUAAGCAGGCUGGCUGACUUAAUAAUUUACGUGCCUGCUGCAGCAGUCAUGCCACCAGAUAAGAAUCAUGGGAAAGUACCUCUGAGAGCCUCCAUGACUGGCUGAAUGGUUUCAGACCACUGAUGAGCAGCAAUUGCUGUGUAUAUUCCUGGGAAGUCCCUCUGCCAGAUCCGCUGGCCCACACCCCAGAUAGCAGCCAGUUCAGGGUUAGCCUGCAAGAGCCAAAAUGAAGAAACUUUCACUCUCGUUCAGCUACUCCACUGCCACCAAUUUGUCUUUUCGAAUGGUUUCUCUCUUGCACAUUGUUUCCUCCCGUUAAAACCUUAUCGACUACAACACAUAGUCGUUACGUACCUAAUACUCAGAAACAUAAGUUAGAUAUGCGGAACUGUCCACUCACAGACAUAUGCCACUGUUGUGGGGUUUGCUAUGGGUGUCUUAAUGGAGACCAUUUAGGGCUGUGGGUUUUCAGGGGACUUGCUCCACAAGUGUAGAACUCCCUCCCUGCCAACCUGAGAAAUGUUAACUCUUUUACAGUUUUAAAGACUCGCCUGUUUAGUAGAGUUUUAAUUAUGUUUGCCUUUUCUCCUUUUCCACAUUUUUAAUUUGUAUAUUUAUUUCUGUAAAAUGUUAUUUUGACUUUUUACCCUGUGAGGUGUCCCAAGGACUGUAAAUGUACAUGGGCACUGAAAUAAAUCCUUGUAAGACAUUCCUUUGAGUUUGUGAAUGUAUCAUGUCACUCUUGACUUAUUCUAGAGCAGAAAUAUAUUUUCCAUAAAAUGUACGUCGGACAACUUUAGCAUAACGUCCCUUUAUUUAAAUACUACAUUUUGUAUUGUAUAUCCUGACUUUUUUUUGUGUUUCUUCACAUUGUAUAGAAAAUGUAAAUGAUAUGACAUAAACCAAACACCUUUGAAUUUCUCAAAAAAAGUAUUUCCAAUGCCUGUGCUUAUUAGUUUAUAUUUAUAGCUUGUAUUUUUGCUAACUACAUGGGGCACACUGCACUUGUCUACAUUACAUGUCAUGUCCCAGAAUCUCAGGCUAAGGACUGUAAACUUAAUGUUUCUUCCUAACAUAUUUAAAAGAUAAUGACAAUUUUAACAAGAAAAGCAUAUGAUGCAUAAAGCAAAUUGAUUUUUCUCACAGGAGUUGCAACAAGCUCAAACUAUUUAUGCAAUAUAUUUUUUAUUUUGACUUGUGAAUGUUCAACUGCCUUAAAAAAUACAGAACUGUUUACAAUU